rnacentral:rRNA from 1 species
CCAAUCGAACCCGGAGAUAGCUGGUUCUCCUCGAAAUAGCUUUAGGGCUAGCCUCAUGAGAGUCUUAUGGAGGUAGAGCACUGAAUUGCCUAGGGGGCGUCAAAGCUUACCAAAGCAUAUCAAACUCCGAAUGCCAUCAAGAUGAUUCAUGGGAGUCAGACCAUACGAGAUAAGUUGGAUGGUCAAAAGGGAAAGAGCCCAGACCUACAGCUAAGGUCCCAAAGUACGUGUUAAGUGGAAAAGGAUGUGGGGAUUCUAAGACAACUAGGACGUUGGCUUAGAAGCAGCCAUUCAUUGAAAGAGUGCGUAAUAGCUCACUAGUCGAGAGUCCCUGCGCCGAAAAUGUCCGGGGCUGAAACACGACACCGAAGCUUAGGAAUGUGUAAACAUUGGUAGAGGAGCAUUGCUAGCGGGAUGAAGCCAUACCGUAAGGAGUGGUGGACUGCUAGGAAGAGAGAAUGCCGGAAUGAGUAGCGAGAUGAAGGUGAGAAUCCUUCAGGCCGAAUAUCUAAGGUUUCCAGAGUAAAGCUGAUCUGCUCUGGGUAAGUCGGGACCUAAGGCGAGGUCGAAAGACGUAGUCGAUGGAUAACAGGUUGAAAUUCCUGUACCGCAUAUAAACAGAACUGUGGGGACACAGACAGGGAAUGGAAUCCGGGAAUGGAUAUCCCGGUGCAAGCGAGGUAGGAGUGCUGUUGGCAAAUCCGCAGCACGAUCUGAAGACGUGACGCGUACCGAACAUAAGUAGGGAAGUCCAGGCCCCUGGCUGUCAAGAAAAGCCGCUAUCGUUUUAUAUGUGCCCGUACCGCAAACCGACACAGGUGGAUGAGGAGAGAAUCCUAAGGCCGACGGGAGAAGUAUUGUUAAGGAACUCGGCAAAAUGACUCCGUAACUUCGGGAGAAGGAGUGCCAUGAGAGUGGCCGCAGAGAAAUGGCCCAAGCAACUGUUUAGCAAAAACACAGGUCUAUGCAAAACCGCAAGGUGAAGUAUAUGGGCUGACGCCUGCCCGGUGCUGGAAGGUUAAGGGGAGAGGUUAGCGCAAGCGAAGCUUUGAACUUAAGCCCCAGUAAACGGCGGCCGUAACUAUAACGGUCCUAAGGUAGCGAAAUUCCUUGUCGGGUAAG